GACGAACGCUGGCGGCGCGCUUAACACAUGCAAGUCGAACGGAAAGGCCUGCUUUCCCUUGUGGAUUGCGGGUACUCGAGUGGCGAACGGGUGAGUAACACGUGAGUGAUCUGCCCCCAACUUGGGUAUAAGCCUGGGAAACUGGGUCUAAUUCCCGAUAGGACUGCAGGGUGGUGCCUGUGGUGGAAAACGAUUUUCUAGUGGGUGGGGAUGAGCUCGCGGCCUAUCAGCUUGUUGGUGGGGUAAUGGCCUACCAAGGCGGCGACGGGUAGCCGGCCUGAGAGUGUGGACGGCCACAUUGGGUCUGAGAUACGGCCCAGACUCCUACGGGAGGCAGCAGUGGGGAAUAUUGCACAAUGGGCGGAAGCCUGAUGCAGCGACGCCGCGUGGGGGAUGACGGCCUUCGGGUUGUAAACUCCUUUCGACCGCGAGGAAGCCACCUGGUUGGAAGGGUGGUGACGGUAGUGGUAGAAGAAGCACCGGCUAACUACGUG
rnacentral:rRNA from 1 species